rnacentral:rRNA from 1 species
UACGUAGGUGGCAAGCGUUGUCCGGAUUUACUGGGCGUAAAGAGCGCGCAGGCGGUCGAAUAAGUCGAAUGUGAAAGCCCCCGGCUUAACUGGGGGAGGGUCAUUCGAUACUGUUCGACUCGAAGGCAGGAGAGGGAAGUGGAAUUCCGGGUGUAGUGGUGAAAUGCGUAGAUAUCUGGAGGAAUACCGGUGGCGAAGGCGGCAUCCUGGACCGACAUUGACGCUGAUGAGCGAAAGCUAGGGGAGCAAACGGGG